rnacentral:rRNA from 1 species
UACGAAGGGGGCUAGCGUUGCUCGGAAUCACUGGGCGUAAAGGGCGCGUAGGCGGCGUUUUAAGUCGGGGGUGAAAGCCUGUGGCUCAACCACAGAAUGGCCUCGAUACUGGGACGCUUGAGUAUGGUAGAGGUUGGUGGAACUGCGAGUGUAGAGGUGAAAUUCGUAGAUAUUCGCAAGAACACCGGUGGCGAAGGCGGCCAAACUGGACCAUUACUGGACGCUGAGGCGCGAAAGCGUGGGGAGCAAACAGG